CAGCCGUAAACUAUGCUCGCUAGGUGUCAGGCAUGGCGCGACCGUGUCUGGUGCCGCAGGGAAACCGUGAAACGUGCCGCCUGGGAAGUACGGCCGCAAGGCUGAAACUUAAAGGAAUUGGCGGGGGAGCACAACAACGGGUGGAGCCUGCGGUUUAAUUGGACUCAACGCCGGACAACUCACCGGGGACGACAGCAAUAUGUAGGCCAGGCUGAAGACCUUGCCUGAAUCGCUGAGAGGAGGUGCAUGGCGUAGACGUCU
rnacentral:rRNA from 1 species